UUGACCACUGUCACAGAAUUUUAGCCUUUGCUUGGAACCAUUUUUGGUGAAUUUAAUUAUGGAACAGAA
rnacentral:lncRNA from 13 species